UGCCUAACCUGCAAGUCGAACGAACCCUUCGGGGUUAGUGGCGCACGGGUGCGUAACGCGUGGGAACCUGCCUUUAGGUUCGGAAUAACUCAGAGAAAUUUGAGCUAAUACCGGAUGAUGUCUUCGGACCAAAGAUUUAUCGCCUUUAGAUGGGCCCGCGUUAGAUUAGAUAGUUGGUGGGGUAAUGGCCUACCAAGUCGACGAUCUAUAGCUGGUCUGAGAGGAUGAUCAGCCCACUGGGACUGAGACACGGCCCAGACUCCUACGGGAGGCAGCAGUGGGGAAUAUUGGACAAUGGGCGAAAGCCUGAUCCAGCAAUGCCGCGUGAGUGAUGAAGGCCUUAGGGUUGUAAAGCUCUUUUCCAGGGAUGAUAAUGACAG
rnacentral:rRNA from 1 species